GGUUAUAUUGUUCGGUCGUUCGACUACUACAAUUCGGUUAUAUCGUUCUGUCGUUCAACCAAUUCACUUCGGUUAUUUUUCAUCGUUCGUCAGUUACACUACGUGGCUACUAUACGUUACGUCUCCUUCUUAUACGAAUUUCGUUCUCUAAUAUUUUAAACGAUUGUACAGUGUUACUUGGCAACUAUUAAUAAAUUAGUUUUGUUAAGUUUAAAUCAGUGUUUGUUCAUAUAACCCCGGCUGUGCUUCCCGGGCAGCCUCGCGUAAUUCUAACUUAAAUUCAUUAAAUUCUCUCGUGAGCCUCAAGAUCUUACUACUACGCAGUCGACAAGUUCGGAGCUAAUAAGGCUACCACUAUAAACGUGAAACCUUUACCUUGGUUAUUAUUUACUAGAGGUGCUUACGAAUCGCACGAGUUAUUGUAACCAUCCAUUAAAUAAUAACUAGAGGUGCGUACGAAUUGCACGAGUUAUUAUUCUGCAUUACCAAAUCAUAAAUUCCUUUAUUCCGAGAAUACGACGUGGUGGUAGGAAGUAUCAUUUUCGACGGAUACUAGGGUCGUUUUAUGAUCCGCUUCGCGAUCACUCGGAUUUGAGAACCAUUCCAUCGGAGACGACUAGCACACGUGAGGCAGUUCCGUAUCGUUUCGUACCCAUCGCGACAAAAGAGAAGACCAGCAACCCGAGUGAAUUAGCACUGUCCGAUAUCUGGGCGAAAGAUACCCGAAUAAUUCUUCAUUGUCUAUCAUCCAUCAGCUCUACUGAAGAGGACGUUUCACCGGGAGACGGUUCGUAUUAAUGUCGGUCCCCUGCCACGAACAGCGCAUAGCAGGUUACCGUCAAAAUGACAUGAAUCUCACGAAACUAAAAGUUCUUCAGAUCCGAGGGGAAGAUGAAGAAACUGCCCUGCUUUUUGCUCUUCAAACCCUAUCUCCCUGCUAGAAGUUUCCAGGGAACUCGAUCGCAUAUGCAGAAGACAAAACUAUUCCCGGAUCUCCCGAAGAUAUCUCCAGGUCAUUUUGGGGUACCCAACGAAUACUCUUACGAGAUAUGAAUUGCAUGCGUUUCAGCUGCCGGGUUCUGGAAUAGGAACCGGAUUCUCUUUCGCGCGACCGGCUUAGGUUCGACUGACUCGUUUGCAACGGCUGUUCGCACGAAACGCUUCUCCACGUCAGUCCUCCAGGAUCUCACUGGAGUAUUUGCUACUACCAUCAAGAUCUGCAACGACGGUGGCUUCAGGUAGGCUUACAAUCAGACCUUUUUGCGCACACCGCCGCGAUCUUCGUCAGGGCUUCAUAGCGUCGCCCCGUAAGGACGAAGUGCCACACUUGCCGUUGACGGCAGAGUGUAGACGCGAUGCUUCAGCGCCAUUUUUUUAAGGACUACUUGCCUGUGAGUUGUUACACACUCCUUAGCGGUUUCGACUUCCAUGGUCACCAUCUUGCUGUUUUUAGCAACCAACGCCUUUUAUGAUAUCCUAUAAGCGUCGACUUAAGCGUCUUAACUUUGCGGUCGGUUCAUCCCACAGCGCCAGUUCUGCUAACUAAAAUUGGCCACUUGGCACUCUGAUCCGAAAUCCCUUAUGUCUUCAUAGUUCAAGCAAGCCAGAGGUCUCACCAAUUUAAAGUAUGAGAAAAGGUUGAGGUCGUUUCGGCCCCAAGGCCUCUUAUCAUCCGCUUUACUAGAUGAGACCCGUUUACAUUCGAAGAGAACGUGCGAGUGACAGUCAUCUUGAGGGAAACUUCGAAUGGAACCAAUUACUAGAUCGGUUGAUUAGUUCUUAGCCUCUAUACUCAGUACCGAAGAUCGAUUUGCUCGUCAGAAUCGCUAAGGAGCUCCUUCUGCGUUUCUCCUGACUUC